rnacentral:rRNA from 1 species
GAGUGGCGAACGGCUGAGUAACGCGUGGGAAUCUGCCCAGUAGUGGGGGACAACUCGGGGAAACUCGGGCUAAUACCGCAUAAUGUCUACGGACAAAGGGGGCUUCGGCUCCGCCUUGAUAGAGGCCCAAGUGAGAUUAGCUAGUUGGUGGGGGAAAGGCGGGGAGGGCAACGAUCUUUAGUUGUUCUGAGAGGAAGAUCAGCCACACUGGAACUGAAACACGGCCCAGACUCCUACGGGAGGCAGCAGUGGGAAAUAUUGCACAAUGGGGGAAACCCUGAUGCAGCCUUGCCGCGUGUGUAAAGAAGGCCUUCGGGUUGUAAAGCACUUUCAGUUGUGAGGAAAGGUUGGUAGUUAAUACCGGGGGGGGGUGAGGUUAACCCCAACCAAGCACCGGCUAACUCCGUGCCAGCAGCCGCGGUAAUACGGAGGGUGCGAGCGUUAAUCGGAAUUACUGGGCGUAAAGCGCACGCAGGCGGUUUGUUAAGCUAGAGGUGAAAGCCCCGCGCUCAGCGUGGGAACUGGCCUUUAAAACUGGCAGGCUAGAGUCUUGGAGAGGGGAGUGGAAUUCCAGGGGUAGCGGUGAAAUGCGUAGAUAUCGGGAGGACAUCAGUGGCGAAGGCGGCUCCCUGGGCAAA